CCUACGGGUGGCAGCAGUGAGGAAUAUUGGUCAAUGGGCGAGAGCCUGAACCAGCCAAGUCGCGUGGAGGAUGGCGGCCCUACGGGUUGUAAACUUCUGUUGUCAGGGAGCAAUUGAGUCCACUAGUGGGCUUAGCGGGAGAGACGGAAGAAAAAGCAUCGGCUAACUCCGUGCCAGCAGCCGCGGUAAUACGGAGGAUGCGAGCGGUGUCCGGAGUGUGUGGGGUAAAAGGGUGCGUAGGCGGAAUAUCAAGUCAGCGGUAAAAACUCGGGGCUCCACCCCGGCGUGCAGAUGAAACUGAUGUUCUUGAGUGGGCGAGAAGUAUGCGGAAUGCGUGGUGUAGCGGUGAAAUGCAUAGAUAUCACGCAGAACUCCGAUUGCGAAGGCAGCAUCCCGGCGCCUAACUGACGCUGAAGCACGAAAGCGUGGGUAUCGAACAGGAUUAGAUACCCUAGUAGCC
rnacentral:rRNA from 1 species